rnacentral:tRNA from 1 species
UAGAAAAUAGUUUAAAUAGAAAAACGAAGAAAUUUGAAUUCUUUAACAUAAGUGCAACUCUUAUUUUUCUAA